rnacentral:lncRNA from 1 species
UGCAAUUAUACUUUUUUUUUUCCUUUUUUGCCCUUUUCUCUAUGUGCUCUAAUCCUGAUCAGAUGCCCAAGGCCCAGCCCAAUUCUAAAUCACAUCCCAAUUAGGCAAAGCCCAUCUCAAACACAUCCUAAAUUAAGAGCUUAUAUUUACCACCAUUUUAAAAAGUGAAUCGAACAGCGAUCCAGAAAUAUUACUAGGUCAAGCAUCACUAAUUCAAUCAGUGAGUCAAUCACUGAUUGAACUAGUGGUAUCAGCAUGACAUUAUAAAUAUUUAAUUAUUAUAUUUAUUUUUAAUCUUUAUUCUAGUAUCAUUAUUAAUUUUAUAAUAUACUAAUUUUUAGACCAAAUUAAAUAGAUAUAAUUUUAAAUUUUUUUUUACUUUUUAUAAAACUCAACAUAUGCUAACGAAAAAUAAA